GACGAACGCUGGCGGCGUGCCUAAUACAUGCAAGUCGAGCGGACGGAUGGGAGCUUGCUCCCAGACCGUCAGCGGCGGACGGGUGAGUAACACGUGGGCAACCUGCCUGUAAGACUGGGAUAACUCCGGGAAGCCGGGGCUAAUACCGGAUAACUCUUUCCCUCACAUGAGGGAAAGCUGAAAGAUGGCAUCUCGCUAUCACUUACAGAUGGGCCCGCGGCGCAUUAGCUAGUUGGUGAGGUAACGGCUCACCAAGGCGACGAUGCGUAGCCGACCUGAGAGGGUGAUCGGCCACACUGGGACUGAGACACGGCCCAGACUCCUACGGGAGGCAGCAGUAGGGAAUCUUCCGCAAUGGACGAAAGUCUGACGGAGCAACGCCGCGUGAGUGAUGAAGGUUUUCGGAUCGUAAAACUCUGUUGUCAGGGAAGAACAAGUACCGGAGUAACUGCCGGUACCUUGACGGUACCUGAACAGAAAGCCACGGCUAACUACGUG
rnacentral:rRNA from 1 species